AUUGAACGCUGGCGGCAGGCCUAACACAUGCAAGUCGAACGAGUGGCGGACGGGUGAGUAAUGUCUGGGAAACUGCCUGAUGGAGGGGGAUAACUACUGGAAACGGUAGCUAAUACCGCAUACCAUCAGAUGUCCCCAGAUGGGAGUAGCUUGGUGGUGGGGUAACGGCUCACCAAGGGGACGAUCCCUUACUGGGCUGAGAGGAUGAUCAGUCACACUGGAGCUGAGAAACGGUCCAGACUCCUGCGGGAGGCAGCAGUGGAGUAUAUUGGACAAUGGGCGAAAGCCUGAUCGAGCCAUGCCGCGUGUGUGAAGAAGGUCUUCGGAUUGUAAAGCAGUUUAAGUUGGGAGGCGUUACCAACAGAAUAAGCACCGGCUAACUUCGUGCCAGCAGCCGCGGUAAUAC
rnacentral:rRNA from 1 species